UUAGCUAAAUCGUCUGCCUCCUAGUUGUUCUCCCUAGGAGUAUAAAAAAAAGGCGAUCGAAACAAAUACAGAAGACAAAUCAUGGAUGUCUUUGAUGAUUCCCAAAAAUUCCUUCCUUUGUGUCUUGUUGUUGAUUACUCCAAUGAGCGUUAAGUUCUCAGAGCAGACCCAGAGAUUCGAGAUCCCUUGAUUUACAUCCAUGUAAAGUCAUUCCUUGAUCGCCAGAGCUUCAGCGACCAACGGUGAAUCAAAAUAGUUGUGGACCGAUGGUCCUUCCCUCACAGAAGUACUCGCUGCUUUGAUUAUGAUCCAAGCUAGGCCUGACUUGUAUCGAGUCGCGUCCCACGAAGCAUCCGUCUUGCAGGUGGCGAUCUGAAGAUUGGGCUGAAUUGAUUCCCUGAUUCUAUUGAUUUGUGUUCCGGUUGUUCACUUUUCCCUUCAAAGAUGAGUGUGUUUCGGUCCUUCUAAAUAGACCAGAAUACCCAUGGGAGAAUGGUGUUUGAUACUUCAGUGGGGGGGGGGGAAGGCAGGUUGCUGAGCGAAAGUGUACCACCGUUGAUCUGAAGUUAUCUGUAACAGCUAUGUGAACUACUUUUUUAGAGGUUCUCGCCAAGGGACAAGGCGACUUGGAUGAUCGACCAGAGAAUGACUUUCAUCUUAGGUGAGCAGGAGAUUGACAAUACGUCCUUAAUCCAGUUAAAAUCCCCAAUCGAGCUACUCAGGUUGGGGAACAUACCGAUGAAGAUUAUCUCUACCAUACUACUACUAGGCAAUAUAGAUGAACAAUCCAUGCCCACCCCGCCUCAGAUCAGCAGGAGUCAGACACUGCAUGGCUCAUCCAUCAGGUAAAGAAAGGCCAACAAUAGAAUACUUGUUAUUUAUGGAUGUUUAUUGCGGGAAGAGUUUCAUCAAGAGAACAAGGAAAUAAGGUAUCUGCAGAAAUAGGAGUUUACGGGUGUAGAAAGAAUAAGGGAAUCAAUGUUGUCUAUCGGAACAACUGGUUGGGCUACUCCUUGUUUGAGGAGUUAGUUUCUUGAUUCUUUAUCUUCGAUAUCUGCUCUUGAAAUAUUUUCAGUGCAAACUCUUCUCAUACUAUCAAGCCGGAAUAACUCGAUUGUGAGGAGAGGUUUAAAUAACUCGUGGAACCUUAUACUCUCCUUUAUCAGUAUCAUUUCGUUGGACCUGUUAUUUUUAAGAGAUAGGGGCUACAUUUUCUAUUCAUGCCGCUUUCUUUUUUGUAUCGCUAAAUAAGCAGGCUUCCGUCAAGCGGGGUCAGUCAAAGGGAAAGAAGAAGAGUGAGCGAAAAAGCAAUGAGCUUACUCUUUAAGAAUUGAUUACUGUUGAUGGCAGGGAACGGAAACCUUUCCCUUUCUAGUUGUGAAACUAACUCCAUUAUUUUAUUAAGUGACAAUAAUUAUAAUACAUUU